rnacentral:rRNA from 1 species
CGAACGGCAAGUUGAGUAGUAAUACUUGACCUAGAGUGGCGCACGGGUGCGUAACGCGUAUGCAACCUACCCAUUACUGGGGGAUAGCCCGGAGAAAUUCGGAUUAAUACCCCAUGGUAUUAUUGAACGGCAUCGUUUAAUAAUUAAAGAUUUAUCGGUAAUGGAUGGGCAUGCGUCUGAUUAGUUAGUUGGUGAGGUAACGGCUCACCAAGACGAUGAUCAGUAGGGGUUCUGAGAGGAUGAUCCCCCACACUGGCACUGAGAUACGGGCCAGACUCCUACGGGAGGCAGCAGUAGGGAAUAUUGGUCAAUGGUCGAGAGACUGAACCAGCCAUGCCGCGUGCAGGAAGACGGCCUUCUGGGUUGUAAACUGCUUUUAUACGGGAAUAAAAGACUCAUGCGUGAGGCAUUGCAGG